GGUUUUAUAUUCAACUAUGAUUUUAGAUUGCAAGUCUAAAGGUACGUUUAAAAUUCGUUAAGGCCU
rnacentral:tRNA from 1 species